rnacentral:rRNA from 1 species
AUGUCCCUUGACAUCGCCAUCACCAACAUCUACGCCCCCUCUAUCCAUGCCCUCGAACAGGCCUUCCUUGAUGAGCUUCUCUCGAUCGCACAACCAUACGAUGUUCCAUGGCUCGUUGUUCGCGAUUUCAAUCUCCUACGCUUCCCCUCCGACAAAAACAACCCCACCUUUCGACAUUCAAAAGCUAAUGCUUUUAAGCAAGUUAUCGACACCCUAGCCCUCAUUGAACUGCCACUCCUAGACCGACAAUUUACAUGGUCUAAU